rnacentral:lncRNA from 1 species
CUGCUUUUCUAGCUCAACCUAUCAUGGUAUAAUCACAUUCAAUGACAUCAAUGAAUCAAAACAACUAAUGGUCACUUUUCAUCAAUUUUCAAUCGUCGCCCAAAUAACUGAUUUUAAUUCUUAAUAAGACAUCAUUUCAUCACACAAUUUAUAAUCCAAAGGAAUCAAACAACAAAUUAAACAAACAUCAAUUCACCACCAACCAAGAUCAACCAAAAAAUGAUAUUCAAUCCAAUGCACCGAGUAUCAUCAACAAUAAAAUAAAAAGAGGUGAAAGAGUAGAAUUAGACCUCAUUUUGAAGCUUUCAAACUCAAUAUUACUUGAAUGAAGAGACAAAAUCAGUGCCGAAGAACCUCGAUUCGAAACCCCAACAAGAAAAAUCCCAACCUCAGUAUGGCUUCACUGUUUUCCAACAAAAUCACAACAAGAUCCCGAGGACCAAAAUAACCCUUUCAUAAUUUCCUAUAUGGGUUCGAUCGUGGACAAAGCUGGGUCGUUUAGAAUGGUUUUCCGAUGGUGUUUGUUCGUAUUUUUAGAUAUUCCGGUGGUAUUUGCCUAGUUACUGAUUAUUAGGCAAAGAUGUGGAGCUGGGUUCCUGCUCUCCGCUUCGACGGACUUCAGAGAACUCUGGUAAUCAGAAUGAACCUUUCUUAACUAUUUCUCUCUGUCGAUUCUCCCUUCUCUCCUCACUCACAUUCACUAAUUUUCCCUCGCCUGAUUUUUCUCUCUGUGUGUGGAGUAUUUUUUUUUGUCUGUGUCUUAGUGAACCUCAAUUGGUGUGUGUGUAUUCAUGAGAUUUUUUUUGUGCAUGUGCAGUGUGUCAUCGUUUUGUGGAGAAGAAAAAAAUUUAUUUUUUCAUGAGGUAUGUAUAGAAAUCUGUGAGAUGUGAAUGAAUAUGUAUAUAGUGUGUUGUGUGCUUAUUGACUGUGAGUGGUGAGUUUUUGUUUUGUCCCCCAAAAGAAAACGUGAGGAGGGGGUAUGUAGGGGUAGGGGUAUAGGGUAGUGGUAGGAGGUAUAGGGUAUGGGGUGGAUAGGCUGUUAGGAUGAGAUAAAAUUUGUCAAGGUGAGGUGUCAAAAAAUGGUUAAGAGUUUGUUGGGUUUGUUAUUGAGUGAAAAUUAUCACAUGAAUGAAGGUACGUGGUAAGGCGAGAUAAAAAUGGGUAAAAGUACACUCUCAAGAGGGACAAAAUUAUAUGUCUACACUAUUGAAAAAACCAAGCAUCAUAAUUCUCUUAACAAAACCAAUUAACAAUUCUCAUUCAUCUUCAUUAUCUUGUUCGUAGUUUCUGAACAUAUGAAUGAGUCUUGAUUGUAUUUAGGCCAAAUUCCUGUUGUAUGGGUUGUGAGCAAUUUUCAAUGCCUAAUUGCUUAGUGAGCUGAUAAUACUCUUUUACCCUUAAAAAAGGGGACAAUCCACAAAGUUUCUUCUAACAUCCUUUUUGCACAAGUCCGAAUCAGUUAUAUCAUGAAUCACGAUAUCCAUUUUGCUUCAUUUGCACUUCUUUCAUUAUAAUACUUAAUUAGAUCAUUCUGUUUACAUUCUAGAACAAUUCAAAUAUCUAAUCAUAUGGAAAAAAUGGUUUAUACCAAACCAAGUUCUUAACACAAUUGUUAUCAAGAUUCUGGUAUAUAGCAGAUAAUUGCAAAUCUGGUAACAAGAAGUACUACCAGUCUAGUAAUAAAUACAAUAGUCGUGAUGGAGAAGGCAAAUAGAUCAUUACAAUGGCUCAUCAUUCCGAUCCAUGCAGUCAGCACGUACUAGUUCGUGUCCAACAUAAGCUUUCACUUCCUGAAAUUCAAUAGUGCAUAACAAGUUAAGGUUGUAUUAGACAAAAUGUAAUACCCCAUACUUUUCCUAUCUUAAAUUCGUCCCUAAAAUGUCAAGAAUUUACUUUAAAGAUGAAUACCAUUUAUUUCAUGCAGUAUUUUCAAGAUUUCAACUCUUUAUUGUGUGAAAAAUUGAAUAAGCUUUCCAUCGAUACCAAAUUUGCCUAAAUUCGACACUCGAUUGAGAAAUUAGAGCAUUUUUAAGUUGAUAGUGUGCCACCUGGGCAGUUGGCACAUCGCGGAGAAGGAAAGAUCCGCAAUUGUCAAAUUUCAGUGGCCCUCCGUGAUAGCCCCGCAUCGUGGAGAAGCCCAUUUUCUCAAUUGUCCCAUUCCAGUGAGACUUCACGAUGCUGCCGCGUCGUGCCAAGGCCCAAAAUGGAAAUUCAAGGGGCAUCGUGAUUGUUGCGCAUCGCGGUGAGCGCCCAGUUUUCGUUGGUCCUUUUCCAGUGAGUCACCGCGGUAGUGGCGCGUCGCGGUAGCCCAAAAAAUCGGGAUUUUUAGGUCUUUUUUUCAGUUCCGUUUAGGAGUUUAAAAAGGGUAUUUUGGUGAAUUACCCAACCCCCAAUCCAUCCAAAACACAUCAUUAAGCUUAUACCAAAGCACUUUAUGCUUAUUUCAUUACUUUUCGCUCAAAAGAAAACCCUAGAUCAUCAAAGCUCCUUCUCCAAGAAAUCCAAAUUACUCCAUUAAUUCUCCAAAGAAAUUCAAGAUUAAGGAUUCCCAAUACAAGAACUCUAAGAAGUCAUCUUCAAAGCACCAAUAGAGAUCCAAGAUUUAAGUUUUAGCAUCUAAGAUCAUCAAUUGAGGUAUGUGGGGUAUGAACAAGGAUAAUCCUUUCAUCCUUGUGCCCAAAGCUUGUUUUAAAUUCAACUUUUACUAAAGUUUGUGUGAUUCUACAUGAAAUUCAAAUUAGGAUUUACACCCAUUAUUGUUAUUUACAAAUUUAUGAUAUUCCCAAUGAUUUAGAAGUCGCAUUCCACGAUUUUGUUCAUAUUUUCAUGCAUAUUGCUGAAAUUUCCAGAUUUUAUGAUGAAUUAUAAAUGCUUAUAUUAUCAAGCAUGAAUUUUAAGAUGUUUUAACAUGAAAUUUAUGCAUGGGUCAUCAUGCCCUAAUUAAGAUUGCUAUUUCGAGAUUAUUUAUUCUAUGAGCACCCUCAAAUAAGAUUAUUCUCAGAUUUUGAUAAAGAUUUGACCUUUUGGUCCUGAGCUAAGAUAAAGAAUCCACUUUGUUCAUAUGAUUUGAGAUUUAAAGAAAUGAAAGAGCAUAAGUGGUUUUCUUGUAAACCCUUGUGCUAUUUUUGAAGUGGAUUUCUUAAGAUUUUAAGCAUAAGAAUAGGAAUAGUAUUUUGCACCGAGAUGGGUAAGUUACUAUGAUUUCAUAUCCCAAAACUACGUGACACCGUAGGAUUAAGAUUAUUCCCACUUCUAUGUGGAUGACUCAGAUUGUGAUCACUUAAGAUAGAAGUUCUAUUCCGAUAGUAAGGGUAGAACAACCCUACCUAAUAGGGGCAAGAUGUGGGACUCCAUGGAUGCUCACAUGGUGUAUGUCGGUUAGAAGAACCUCCCAAAAGAUGUCCCCUACUCUUAAAACAGUCUAUUGGUUUAAAGACUUAAGAUAAGUGUUUUCCUUACAAAAAACUUUUUAAAGUAUUUUCCCUGCUAAUUAAAGAAAAAGAUCUACAGAAAAUCUUUUAGAAAAACUAAGUGUAAAAGCUCAUAAAUUUUACUCAGAUUAUGCUUUACAGAAAGAUAUUAGCUUAAGAUUUCAGAUUUAAGAGUGAGUCCUUUCUACAAUUAGAUAAUAUGAUUUAAAGAGAAAAUACUAGUACAACUUUCAGAACUAAAUAUUAUGGAUAACGAGAUUUACAAAGUGUGUUUUACUCCUUAUUACUAUAUAUUUUAGUAUUUUAGAUAUUCCAGCUUAUGUGAGUCAUUUACAUUUAGCAUGCAUUGAUUUAUAAAUUAUGAUGAUAAGAUGAUUUUUUACUUAUGCAUUCACCCCCAUAUACUCAGUACAUCCUCAAAGUACUAAUCCACAUUUAUGUCUAUGCGCUACAUUGUCUCAUAAUGUAGGUAUCAGUUCAGUUGUAGCACACAUACCAUAUUCAGAAAAAUUGCAGCUUUCAGUCAGCAGGUGAUGAACCCUUUUGAUUCAAGGGCUCGAGUCAGUCAUAUAGUUUGAGCAGUAUUUUAUUUUAUUUAUUUAUUCAUAUUAAUUUGGGAU